rnacentral:rRNA from 1 species
CCUACGGGAGGCUGCAGUAGGGAAUCUUCCACAAUGGGCGAAAGCCUGAUGGAGCAACGCCGCGUGGGUGAAGAAGGUCUUCGGAUUGUAAAACCCUGUUGUUAGAGAAGAAAGUGCGUGAGAGUAACUGUUCACGUUUCGACGGUAUCUAACCAGAAAGCCACGGCUAACUACGUGCCAGCAGCCGCGGUAAUACGUAGGUGGCAAGCGUUAUCCGGAUUUAUUGGGCGUAAAGGGAACGCAGGCGGUCUUUUAAGUCUGAUGUGAAAGCCUUCGGCUUAACCGGAGUAGUGCAUUGGAAACUGGGAGACUGGAGUGCAGAAGAGGAGAGUGGAACGCCAUGUGUAGCGGUGAAAUGCGUAGAUAUAAGGAAGAACACCAGUGGCGAAAGCGGCUCUCUGGUCGGUAACUGACGCUGAGGUUCGAAAGCGUGGGUAGCAAACAGGAUUAGAUACCCCUGUAGUC